rnacentral:lncRNA from 1 species
UGCAGCAUUGCCUUGUUAGAUUCUUCUUGCUGGCUGAGGGAUGCUGUGCCGGGCAGCAGGAUGUACAGCUCACCUUCCUAUGCCUGGAAGGUAUUCCUGCUCUCUUGGCCCAGCGUGGGGGAGGCUUAGCCUCUCCUUUCCUCUCCUUUCACAUUCAUGCCUUCUUCUGGCACCAGGAUCAGCUUAGGUCUGAAUUUUCUCCUCUUUUACCCUCAGAACUCUUCACUGCCUGCCCCACGUGAUAUUGUCUCCAGCAAAAAGGGGAAACUUUAGCUAUACUUUGGACUUCAGUAUCUCCUCCUGCUCCUCCGUCUGCAGCAUCAGCAUCUGGAUCUUCAUCCCUGGGAUUUUUUCCUGCUUGUUACAGAGCUCAUUGCAGCAGUUGCUGGGAUGAAGAGAGAAGGCACUGAGCAGGUCCUGCUAAGGACUGUAUCCGAUCUCUGGCUGUGCUAGAGAAGUUAGAUGCUGUUAGUAUGGAGGAAGGGGCUGCAUGGAACAAUCCUGGGGCUAUCAGCAAUGCUGGAAAGGGAGAGCGAAAGCAGAGAAGAUGAUGAUUCCAGAAGUUUCUCUGUCUGCUGGUGGUACCUGCUAGACCUGGCAACCAUCUGAGUCCAGCAAAGGGUCAUCUGAUCACCGGAGAGGUGCUGCAGUGUUACUCAGCAGCUAAGCUAAGAGCGUUCUUUCACAGUUAACGAGGUGGUUCUGCCAUUUGACGCCAAAGUUGUGUGCCUUGACAUGUGCUGUCCUGUGUCUUGGUUUAGAAGGCAGUCAAGAGACCCGAGUUCUUUCAAAUAAAUGGCUCAGCUUGGAGCA